rnacentral:rRNA from 1 species
CUUUCUCCUGCCGGCGACCGGCGCACGGGUGAGUAACACGUAUGCAACCUGCCCCUGUCAGGGGGACAACCCGCCGAAAGGCGGGCUAAACCCGCGUACAUGCCACCGGGGCAUCCCGGAGGCAGGAAAGGCUUCGGCCGGACAGGGAUGGGCAUGCGGUGCAUUAGGCAGUAGGCGGGGUAACGGCCCACCUAACCGACGAUGCGUAGGGGUUCUGAGAGGAAGGUCCCCCACACUGGUACUGAGACACGGACCAGACUCCUACGGGAGGCAGCAG